UGGCAAUGAAUGCUCCGAAGCCAACA
rnacentral:piRNA from 1 species